CUCACUAUGUGGACCAAGCUGCCUUGGAACUCACAGAAAUCCUCCUGUUUCUGACUCCUGAGUGCUUCACUCAUUCUUUUCCUUUGUUGGGCACGGUGGCACGUGCCUGCAAUCCUACCACUCUGGAAGCUGGAGGAAGAGGAGUGUUGAAAAAUUUGAGUCAGGCUUAUAUACUGCGCUACAUAGUGAGUUUGAGGCCAGUCUGGAUGACGUAGCAAAACCCUGUGUUAAAACACAAAAUAGGACCAGGGCGACAGAUCAGUGGGUAAGAGAUGUGAUGAGAACCUGAGUUCAAAUCCUCAGGACCCACGCCACCUCGUUAUUUCCUGUUGCUGCGAUAAACACCGUGACCAAAAGCAACUUGGGAGGAACGAGUUUAUUUGACUUGUGUGUCCUCUUCACAGUCCAUCACUGACGGAAGCAGAGACAGGAACUCGAGGCAGGAACCUGGAGGCAGGAACUGAUGUAGAGGCCACGGAGGAGGGCUGCUUACUGGCCUGCUCAGCCUGCUUUCUUACAGAACUCAGGUCUACCCGCCCAGGGGUGGUGUGCCCACAGUGGGCUGGGCCCUCCCCCAUCAAUCAGUAAUCAAGGAAAUGCUCCACAGACAUGCCUGCAGGAGGAGCUGAUGGAGGAACGUCUUCAAUUUCUGUUCCCUGGUGACCCUGGUUUGUGUCAAGUUGAUUAAAUGAACCAGCACACCAUCUGUUGUGUGUAACACACUUGUACAACAAGAUGGAGAUGGGAGGGGAGUCCUUGGACGUUCAAGGGCAGCUGGCCAGUGUGCACAGCCACAAAAACCACAAAUGAGCAAGGUGGACAGUGAGGUCAUCCUCUAACCUCCAUGAGUGCCCGCACUCACACCCAAGAUUGCACACAAACACACAGACGUACAUUAGACACACAAAAAUAAAUAACAAGCACAAAAAAUAAUCUUUUUUUUUCUUUUUUGCAGGAGGAGUGUGGAAUGAGAGUCAGUGUUUAACAGGCACAGAGUUUUCAUUUGGUUCUGGAGACGGUGGUGCUGAUGACUGCCAGGCAUUUGGAAUAUGCUGAAUGCCACCGAUUCACACAAUUAAAAAGGUUAAAAUGAUUAACUUGAGAAUCAGCUUGUCCCAUUCUAUUAAAAGUCCCUUUGGCCGGGCGGUGGUGGCGCACGCCUUUAAUCCCAGCACUCGGGAGGCAGAGCCAGGCGGAUCUCUAUGAGUUCGAGGCCAGCCUGGGCUACCAAGGGUCAGGACGAGGACAGGCCUGAGGUGCCAGAGAUGGGAGCUGUUGCUUGCCGCUGACGAGGACGUGGACGAGAUGCUUCUCAAGCCGUGGAGCCGUCGUGGCCUCGGAGCCAGGAGAUCCUGUCACACACGAAGUUCCUUGGUUUCUCAGAAAAGGGUGAAUUCUAAGGGUGGGUUUCACUGUCUCCUCCGGGCUGUCAGUGCACGUGACAGGGACUGUGUGAGUUGGGUCAUUCCUGUGCAGGGUUCCUGCUGGUCCCCAGGGGACAGAGGUGGCUCUGAGUCCACAGCUUGGCAAACGACAGGGCUGGUCCUGUGCCCCUGCUCACUCUUGGGCCAGGUCCCUACCCAGUAGCCAGUGUGUGUGCCCCAUGCUGAUCACAGGGUGGUGUGUGGGCAGCGCAGGAGAGGUGGCUAAGAUGUGGGGCUUUGGAGACACGACCGAGGUCUCCCCCCCCUCCCCGCCCCCCACCAAAGGUCCUAACUUAGGCUUCAAAGGAAACCCCUGCUUCCUGGUGGAACCCCAUGGAAUCUUCACUUUCAUUUGUCUAUCAUUCUGUUUUCUUUUUAUAAGGGGUCUCCUGUAGCCCAGGCUGGUCUCGGACUCAUUGUUAGGUCUCAAACCUGGGACAAAUGGCUGAAGGGCCGAUUUAACACAUCAAAGCGGACAGUGUCUGGCCAGGUUCUCCUUGAGUGCCUCAGUCCCUGCCUGUUACAGGGUCCUCCUGGUCUGCAGACCCCCUCCCCUCCCCUAAACUUCGGCAGCCCAGGGCUUGGGCUGCCCUUCCCCCAGCUGCCCUGCUCCAUAUAAUCCAGCCAUUUUGGUUACCCCUCUCCAUUCCCCUCCCCCUCUCCCCACAUGGCCCAGCUCAGUCUGGUCAGGUCCGCUCUGGAC